CACUCCGGUGGCCAAGUGGUUAGAGCUUCCACCACGGAUGUGGAAGGUUGCGGGUUCGAUCCUCGCUUGAGUCA